CAGGCACACUUCAGGAUGGAGCUCAGGAGCAGAGGAAAGACUGUGGUCAGGGAGAGAGGGGAUUCUCAGACUACGGCAGCAUUUGACAGACGUGGAAAGUGGUUUAUGUGAAAAAACCCCAUGGAUUCUGAAGGAGGGGUGACCUUCAGGACCACCAGGCUAGAUGUUCCAGAGACUGUGACCUACAAGAGGCGUAAACUUGAGCCCAUGGCAAGGAAAUCGCUGCAGUAAGUCCCGGCUCUUUCACCAUCUGGCUGUGUCAUCUAGGAAAAUGCACUUGUUCUCUCUGAAGUAUAGGAUGGCAAGAGGGCCACUUGUCAUCUUCAGCCAAGGCGCAGCCAGAAGUUACAAACCUGAAACAGUGAUGGUGGGCCCAACGAAGAAAGGCAUGAUGGGAAACUGCCCGAGCAACACAGGGGCCCUAGGAGCCGCGCCUUGCCAACAGGUAGCCUAAAUUUACAUGAGACCACAAAGAGUUCCUGACA
rnacentral:lncRNA from 1 species